rnacentral:rRNA from 1 species
GGUCAAGUGAAGAAGCGCAUACGGUGGAUGCCUUGGCAGUCAGAGGCGAUGAAAGACGUGGUAGCCUGCGAAAAGCUUCGGGGAGUCGGCAAACAGACUUUGAUCCGGAGAUCUCUGAAUGGGGGAACCCACCUAGGAUAACCUAGGUAUCUUGUACUGAAUCCAUAGGUGCAAGAGGCGAACCAGGGGAACUGAAACAUCUAAGUACCCUGAGGAAAAGAAAUCAACCGAGAUUCCCUUAGUAGUGGCGAGCGAACGGGGAUUAGCCCUUAAGCUUCAUUGAUUUUAGCGGAACGCUCUGGAAAGUGCGGCCAUAGUGGGUGAUAGCCCCGUACGCGAAAGGAUCUUUGAAGUGAAAUCGAGUAGGACGGAGCACGAGAAACUUUGUCUGAACAUGGGGGGACCAUCCUCCAAGGCUAAAUACUACUGACUGACCGAUAGUGAACCAGUACCGUGAGGGAAAGGCGAAAAGAACCCCGGAGAGGGGAGUGAAAUAGAACCUGAAACCGUAUGCGUACAAGCAGUGGGAGCCUACUUGUUAGGUGACUGCGUACCUUUUGUAUAAUGGGUCAGCGACUUAUAUUCAGUGGCAAGCUUAACCGUAUAGGGUAGGCGUAGCGAAAGCGAGUCUUAAUAGGGCGUUUAGUCGCUGGGUAUAGACCCGAAACCGGGCGAUCUAUCCAUGAGCAGGUUGAAGGUUAGGUAACACUGACUGGAGGACCGAACCCACUCCCGUUGAAAAGGUAGGGGAUGACUUGUGGAUCGGAGUGAAAGGCUAAUCAAGCUCGGAGAUAGCUGGUUCUCCUCGAAAGCUAUUUAGGUAGCGCCUCAUGUAUCACUCUGGGGGGUAGAGCACUGUUUCGGCUAGGGGGUCAUCCCGACUUACCAAACCGAUGCAAACUCCGAAUACCCAGAAGUGCCGAGCAUGGGAGACACACGGCGGGUGCUAACGUCCGUCGUGAAAAGGGAAACAACCCAGACCGCCAGCUAAGGUCCCAAAGUUGUGGUUAAGUGGUAAACGAUGUGGGAAGGCUUAGACAGCUAGGAGGUUGGCUUAGAAGCAGCCACCCUUUAAAGAAAGCGUAAUAGCUCACUAGUCGAGUCGGCCUGCGCGGAAGAUGUAACGGGGCUCAAACCACACACCGAAGCUGCGGGUGUCACGUAAGUGACGCGGUAGAGGAGCGUUCUGUAAGCCUGUGAAGGUGAGUUGAGAAGCUUGCUGGAGGUAUCAGAAGUGCGAAUGCUGACAUGAGUAACGACAAUGGGUGUGAAAAACACCCACGCCGAAAGACCAAGGGUUCCUGCGCAACGUUAAUCGACGCAGGGUUAGUCGGUUCCUAAGGCGAGGCUGAAAAGCGUAGUCGAUGGGAAACAGGUUAAUAUUCCUGUACUUCUGGUUACUGCGAUGGAGGGACGGAGAAGGCUAGGCCAGCUUGGCGUUGGUUGUCCAAGUUUAAGGUGGUAGGCUGAAAUCUUAGGUAAAUCCGGGGUUUCAAGGCCGAGAGCUGAUGACGAGUCGUCUUUUAGAUGACGAAGUGGUUGAUGCCAUGCUUCCAAGAAAAGCUUCUAAGCUUCAGGUAACCAGGAACCGUACCCCAAACCGACACAGGUGGUCGGGUAGAGAAUACCAAGGCGCUUGAGAGAACUCGGGUGAAGGAACUAGGCAAAAUGGCACCGUAACUUCGGGAGAAGGUGCGCCGGCUAGGGUGAAGGAUUUACUCCGUAAGCUCUGGCUGGUCGAAGAUACCAGGCCGCUGCGACUGUUUAUUAAAAACACAGCACUCUGCAAACACGAAAGUGGACGUAUAGGGUGUGACGCCUGCCCGGUGCCGGAAGGUUAAUUGAUGGGGUUAGCGCAAGCGAAGCUCUUGAUCGAAGCCCCGGUAAACGGCGGCCGUAACUAUAACGGUCCUAAGGUAGCGAAAUUCCUUGUCGGGUAAGUUCCGACCUGCACGAAUGGCGUAACGAUGGCGGCGCUGUCUCCACCCGAGACUCAGUGAAAUUGAAAUCGCUGUGAAGAUGCAGUGUAUCCGCGGCUAGACGGAAAGACCCCGUGAACCUUUACUGUAGCUUUGCACUGGACUUUGAGCCUGCUUGUGUAGGAUAGGUGGGAGGCUUUGAAGCGUGGACGCCAGUUCGCGUGGAGCCAUCCUUGAAAUACCACCCUGGCAUGCUUGAGGUUCUAACUCUGGUCCGUGAUCCGGAUCGAGGACAGUGUAUGGUGGGCAGUUUGACUGGGGCGGUCUCCUCCUAAAGAGUAACGGAGGAGUACGAAGGUGCGCUCAGACCGGUCGGAAAUCGGUCGCAGAGUAUAAAGGCAAAAGCGCGCUUGACUGCGAGACUGACACGUCGAGCAGGUACGAAAGUAGGUCUUAGUGAUCCGGUGGUUCUGUAUGGAAGGGCCAUCGCUCAACGGAUAAAAGGUACUCCGGGGAUAACAGGCUGAUACCGCCCAAGAGUUCAUAUCGACGGCGGUGUUUGGCACCUCGAUGUCGGCUCAUCACAUCCUGGGGCUGAAGCCGGUCCCAAGGGUAUGGCUGUUCGCCAUUUAAAGUGGUACGCGAGCUGGGUUUAGAACGUCGUGAGACAGUUCGGUCCCUAUCUGCCGUGGACGUUUGAGAUUUGAGAGGGGCUGCUCCUAGUACGAGAGGACCGGAGUGGACGAACCUCUGGUGUUCCGGUUGUCACGCCAGUGGCAUUGCCGGGUAGCUAUGUUCGGAAAAGAUAACCGCUGAAAGCAUCUAAGCGGGAAACUUGCCUCAAGAUGAGAUCUCACUGGGAACUUGAUUCCCCUGAAGGGCCGUCGAAGACUACGACGUUGAUAGGCUGGGUGUGUAAGCGUUGUGAGGCGUUGAGCUAACCAGUACUAAUUGCCCGUGAGGCUUGACCAU